rnacentral:rRNA from 1 species
CCUACGGGGGGCUGCAGUGGGGAAUAUUGGACAAUGGGGGGAACCCUGAUCCAGCCAUGCCGCGUGUGUGAAGAAGGCCCUCGGGUUGUAAAGCACUUUCAGUGAGGAAGAACGCCUGGUGGUUAAUACCCAUCAGGAAAGACAUCACUCACAGAAGAAGCACCGGCUAACUCCGUGCCAGCAGCCGCGGUAAUACGGAGGGUGCGAGCGUUAAUCGGAAUUACUGGGCGUAAAGCGCGCGUAGGUGGCUUGAUAAGCCGGUUGUGAAAGCCCCGGGCUCAACCUGGGAACGGCAUCCGGAGCUGUCAAGCUAGAGUGCAGGAGAGGAAGGUAGAAUUACCGGUGUAGCGGUGAAAUGCGUAGAGAUCGGGAGGAAUACCAGUGGCGAAGGCGGCCUUCUGGACUGACACUGACACUGAGGUGCGAAAGCGUGGGUAGCAAACAGGAUUAGAUACCCGAGUAGUC